UCUGAGUUCCAACAGUCCUUCAGACAGU
rnacentral:piRNA from 1 species